UGUAUGUGUGUGUGUGUGUGUGUGUGUGUGUGUGUGUAUAUAUACACAAUAUAUAUAUAUAUAUAUACACACAAUAUAUAUAUACACACACACACACACACACACACACAUAUA
rnacentral:miRNA from 1 species